AUCAAUUCAAGAGGACCCCCAAGAUCUUCUAUGCAAAGAAAAUUCAUAUCCAGAAUGGCAUACUCUUCUCAACUUAAAAAAUUAUCCUAAAAAAAAUUUGAAGCCAAAGAUUAUUUAAAGAAUGCAUCAUAUCAUGCCUAAAAAUUGAAGAAGAAUUCGGAUAUGACUGCGACAAAUAAACAUCCACCUAUAUUAUGGCCC
rnacentral:lncRNA from 1 species